UACGAAGGGGGCUAGCGUUGCUCGGAUUGACUGGGCGUAAAGGGCGCGUAGGCGGUUCGUACAGUCAGACGUGAAAUUCCCGGGCUCAACCUGGGGGCUGCACUUGAUACGUAGGAACUGGAGUGGGGAAGAGGGUCGUGGAAUUCCCAGUGUAGAGGUGAAAUUCGUAGAUAUUGGGAAGAACACCGGUGGCGAAGGCGGCGACCUGGUCCUUGACUGACGCUGAGGCGCGAAAGCGUGGGGAGCGAGCAGG
rnacentral:rRNA from 1 species